rnacentral:rRNA from 1 species
AGAGUUUGAUCCUGGCUCAGAUUGAACGCUGGCGGCAUGCUUUACACAUGCAAGUCGAACGGCAGCACGGGCUUCGGCCUGGUGGCGAGUGGCGAACGGGUGAGUAAUGCAUCGGAACGUGCCUGGUAGUGGGGGAUAGCUCGGCGAAAGCCGAAUUAAUACCGCAUGUGCACCAUGGUGGAAAGCGGGGGACUCGCAAGGGCCUCGCGCUACCAGAGCGGCCGAUGUCGGAUUAGCUUGUUGGUGGGGUAAUGGCCUACCAAGGCAACGAUCCGUAGCUGGUCUGAGAGGGCGACCAGCCACACUGGGACUGAGACACGGCCCAGACUCCUACGGGAGGCUGCAGUGGGGAAUUUUGGACAAUGGGCGAAAGCCUGAUCCAGCAAUGCCGCGUGUGCGAAGAAGGCCUUCGGGUUGUAAAGCACUUUUGUCCGGAAAGAAAUACGCCUGGUUAAUACCCGGGCGGGAUGACGGUACCGGAAGAAUAAGCACCGGCUAACUACGUGCCAGCAGCCGCGGUAAUACGUAGGGUGCGAGCGUUAAUCGGAAUUACUGGGCGUAAAGCGUGCGCAGGCGGCGAUGCAAGACAGGUGUGAAAUCCCCGGGCUUAACCUGGGAACUGCACUUGUAACUGCAUGGCUAGAGUGCGUCAGAGGGGGGUGGAAUUCCGCGUGUAGCAGUGAAAUGCGUAGAGAUGCGGAGGAACACCGAUGGCGAAGGCAGCCCCCUGGGAUGACACUGACGCUCAGGCACGAAAGCGUGGGGAGCAAACAGGAUUAGAUACCCUGGUAGUCCACGCCCUAAACGAUGUCAACUAGUUGUCGGGGAUUCAUUUCCUUGGUAACGCAGCUAACGCGUGAAGUUGACCGCCUGGGGAGUACGGCCGCAAGGUUAAAACUCAAAGGAAUUGACGGGGACCCGCACAAGCGGUGGAUGAUGUGGAUUAAUUCGAUGCAACGCGAAAAACCUUACCUGCGCUUGACAUGCCAGGAACCCUCCA